UACGAAGGGGGCUAGCGUUGUUCGGAAUUACUGGGCGUAAAGCGCGCGCAGGCGGUCCUUUAAGUCUGAUGUGAAAGCCCACGGCUCAACCGUGGAGGGUCAUUGGAAACUGGGGGACUUGAGUGCAGAAGAGAAGAGUGGAAUUCCACGUGUAGCGGUGAAAUGCGUAGAGAUGUGGAGGAACACCAGUGGCGAAGGCGACUCUUUGGUCUGUAACUGACGCUGAGGCGCGAAAGCGUGGGGAGCAAACAGG
rnacentral:rRNA from 1 species